UUUGAAAGGAGGUGUUCACUUAACAAAAGAUCCUAACGUUGUGGGACAGCUGGCUAAACAGAUGAUUGGAUAUAAUCUAGCAACCAAACAAACUCCGAAAGAAGGUGUGAAGGUUCACAAGGUAAUGUAGAUGCUUUUCAGUCAUUUUGUAUGUGUUAAAAAAAAAAAAAAAGGAAAGAAAAGAAAACCAUCCUUCAGUUUU